AUUAGCGGUUUCUCUAAUUUCUAGUGCAUAGUAAAAUGUGACGUGAAAAUAUUUACUUUACUAGUUGAAAUGAGUUGGGAAGAAGACUAUUAUAAGGAUCGUGAAGAAUCCAGGCGUGACGAAGAAAUUGAAAUGUCCAACAUACAAAAUUCUGAUUCAGAAUUCAUAUCACCGAAAAAGUCGAAGUUUCAAUGUCUUAACUUCAUGAAGAAGACUUGGGCCAAGUUUACAGAAACGAAGGAAGUGGAUCCUGAUGACCUCAAUAGUCUUGAUAUGUAUUACCUGAGUGAGUAC